GACCUUCGGGCCUCUUGCCAUCAGAUGUGCCCAGAUGGGAUUAGCUUGUUGGUGAGGUAACGGCUCACCAAGGCGACGAUCCCUAGCUGGUCUGAGAGGAUGACCAGCCACACUGGAACUGAGACACGGUCCAGACUCCUACGGGAGGCAGCAGUGGGGAAUAUUGCACAAUGGGCGCAAGCCUGAUGCAGCCAUGCCGCGUGUAUGAAGAAGGCCUUCGGGUUGUAAAGUACUUUCAGCGGGGAGGAAGGUGUUGCGGUUAAUAACCGCAGCAAUUGACGUUACCCGCAGAAGAAGCACCGGCUAACUCCGUGCCAGCAGCCGCGGUAAUACGGAGGGUGCAAGCGUUAAUCGGAAUUACUGGGCGUAAAGCGCACGCAGGCGGUCUGUCAAGUCGGAUGUGAAAUCCCCGGGCUCAACCUGGGAACUGCAUUCGAAACUGGCAGGCUUGAGUCUUGUAGAGGGGGGUAGAAUUCCAGGUGUAGCGGUGAAAUGCGUAGAGAUCUGGAGGAAUACCGGUGGCGAAGGCGGCCCCCUGGACAAAGACUGACGCUCAGGUGCGAAAGCGUGGGGAGCAAACAGGAUUAGAUACCCUGGUAGUCCACGCCGUAAACGAUGUCUACUUGGAGGUUGUGCCCUUGAGGCGUGGCUUCCGGAGCUAACGCGUUAAGUAGACCGCCUGGGGAGUACGGCCGCAAGGUUAAAACUCAAAUGAAUUGACGGGGGCCCGCACAAGCGGUGGAGCAUGUGGUUUAAUUCGAUGCAACGCGAAGAACCUUACCUGGUCUUGACAUCCACAGAAGAAUCCAGAGAUGGAUUGGUGCCUUCGGGAACUGUGAGACAGGUGCUGCAUGGCUGUCGUCAGCUCGUGUUGUGAAAUGUUGGGUUAAGUCCCGCAACGAGCGCAAC
rnacentral:rRNA from 1 species